rnacentral:rRNA from 1 species
UACGUAGGGGGCAAGCGUUGUCCGGAUUUAUUGGGCGUAAAGCGCGUGUAGGCGGCCAGAUAGGUCUGCUGUGAAAACUCGAGGCUCAACCUCGAGCUGUCGGCGGAAACCAUCUGGCUAGAGUCCGGAAGAGGAGAGUGGAAUUCCUGGUGUAGCGGUGAAAUGCGCAGAUAUCAGGAAGAACACCUAUGGCGAAGGCGGGUCUCUGGACAGUUCCUGACGCUGAGGCACGAAGGUCAGGGGAGCGAACGGG